AUUGAACGCUGGCGGCAGGCCUAACACAUGCAAGUCGAGCGAGCGGCGGACGGGUGAGUAAUGUAUCGGAACGUGCCCAGUAGCGGGGGAUAACUAAUCGAAAGAGUGGCUAAUACCGCAUACUAUUGGAGCGGCCGAUAGCGGAUUAGCUAGUUGGGUGGGGAACGGCUCACCAAGGCAACGAUCCGUAGCGGGUUUGAGAGUACGACCAGCCACACUGUGACUGAGCCACGGCCCAGACUCCUACUGGAGGCAGCAGUGGGGAAUAUUGCACAAUGGGCGCAAGCCUGAUGCAGCACUGCCGCGUGUAUGAAGAAGGCCUUCGGGUUGUAAAGUACUUUCAGUCGGGAGGCGUUACCGACAGAGGAAGCACCGGCUAACUCCGUGCCAGCAGCCGCGGUAAUUC
rnacentral:rRNA from 1 species